GACGAACGCUGGCGGCGUGCUUAACACAUGCAAGUCGAACGCUGAAGCUCAGCUUUUGUUGGGUGGAUGAGUGGCGAACGGGUGAGUAACACGUGAGUAACCUGCCCCCUUCUUUGGGAUAACGCCCGGAAACGGGUGCUAAUACUGGAUAUUCACUGGUCUUCGCAUGGGGGUUGGUGGAAAGGGUUUUUCUGGUGGGGGAUGGGCUCGCGGCCUAUCAGCUUGUUGGUGGGGUGAUGGCCUACCAAGGCUUUGACGGGUAGCCGGCCUGAGAGGGUGACCGGGCACAUUGGGACUGAGAUACGGCCCAGACUCCGACGGGAGGCAGAAGUGGGGAAUAUUGCACAAUGGGCGCAAGCCUGAUGCAGCGACGCCGCGUGAGGGAUGGAGGCCGUCGGGUUGUGAACCUCUUUCGCUCAUGGUCAAGCCGCAACAAUGGUUGUGGUGAGGGUAGUGGGUAAAGAAGCGCCGGCUAACUACGUG
rnacentral:rRNA from 1 species